GGAAGCGAGUGGAGGAUGUGGUGUGGUGGUGACUGGCGAAAAAAGACCGAUGGACGCAGGGAAAUGGUUUACUAUGAUAAGGCCGAAGUAACCUGAACAGUGCAUAGAAGCUGUUUGUCUGCUCACAGUGAACACUAAACACGUAAACACGUCAUUGACCACAUACUACGGAAAAUUUGGAGAAUCCGUCGGUACAAAUUUCAUCAGGUUAUUGUGCGCUACGCGAUUAUUCUAUUUUCGUGAUUCGAACUAUAGAUAGUUCCUCCAAUAGCUGACGCUUUUCAAAGUAAGCUAAGCUCCUCUAGGUACCGUCUUCUGUCCACGAUCCGAGACAUAUCUAUAAUAUAUAUUUUUCAAAAACCCCUACACUACAAAAAAAUCAAUAAUUUUCUACAUGUGCAACGACACAUAAAACGAUCAGAACGCAUCCGCUAUACAUUUUAUAUGGACUUUAUGAAUUACAAACGUAUACAGAUAUCUUGUAUAUACAUGAGUUAUCGGGAAUAAUUGCAUCCCUUUUCAAAAAUAUAUGUGGAGACUAAUGGUUAAAAACCAUAACAUCUCACACAUAAAUCUUAAAAUGUUGGAACAUGUUAUUGAUGACAAUACGAAUCAUGCGAGAAACCACGAGAGACGUCAAAAGAAACGAAAAAAUGGCGAGUGAACGCGUGCUGCCGUUUGUCCAGCAUUGAAAAUUUGGAUUUUCUUGCAGAUCCAGAUCGAGUGAAAACAAGCCGGUUAACAACUGUGUGAUAACUUUCAGCUCGAACUCGUACCAUGACGACCAUGAGACUCGGCGCCUAGGUCUAAGACUUUGUUCUCGCUCUCGGAGGGAUGCUUUCCACUUCCUCAGAUAAUGUCGACAUUUCGGGUGAAGAUGGCUGUUCAUGCAGCUGCUGUUGCGGAUCUUGCGACGAAGUACGAUUUUGCUGUUGAUUCUUCAGUAAAGUGAUGCGGAUGUUCAUUAGAUAAUGGACACACAUGACGCCAACAAAAAACCCGGUGCUGAAUAAAAGUUGGGAAUAUGAACGGAUCGCUGCACUGGCAUUAACGCGGUGACCAAAAAGGCUGCUGACGUGGCCCAUAAAUACAAUGACGCGAGAAGCACAGAUAAUC